rnacentral:rRNA from 1 species
UACAGGGGGUGCAAACGUUGCUCGGAAUCAUUGGGCGUAAAGCGCACGUAGGCGGUUUGUUAUGUCGGAUGUGAAAGCCCUUGGCUCAACUGAGGAAGUGCAUCCGAAACUGGCAAGCUAGAGUACUAAAGAGGGUAGCGGAAUUCCCGGUGUAGAGGUGAAAUUCGUAGAUAUCGGGAGGAACACCGGUGGUGAAGGCGGCGACCUGGGUAGAUACUGACGCUGAGGUGCGAAAGCGUGGGGAGCAAACAGG